GACGAACGCUGGCGGCGUGCUUAACACAUGCAAGUCGAACGCUGAAGCUUGGUGCUUGCACUGGGUGGAUGAGUGGCGAACGGGUGAGUAAUACGUGAGUAACCUGCCCUUGACUCUGGGAUAAGCCUGGGAAACUGGGUCUAAUACUGGAUACGACAUGCCACUGCAUGGUGGUGUGUGGAAAGGGUUUUACUGGUUUUGGAUGGGCUCGCGGCCUAUCAGCUUGUUGGUGGGGUAAUGGCCUACCAAGGCGACGACGGGUAGCCGGCCUGAGAGGGUGACCGGCCACACUGGGACUGAGACACGGCCCAGACUCCUACGGGAGGCAGCAGUGGGGAAUAUUGCACAAUGGGCGGAAGCCUGAUGCAGCGACGCCGCGUGAGGGAUGACGGCCUUCGGGUUGUAAACCUCUUUCAGCACGGAAGAAGCGAGAGUGACGGUACGUGCAGAAGAAGCGCCGGCUAACUACGUG
rnacentral:rRNA from 1 species